rnacentral:rRNA from 1 species
GGGUGAGUAACACGUAUCCAACCUGCCUCAUACUCGGGGAUAGCCUUUCGAAAGAAAGAUUAAUAUCCGAUAGCAUAUAUUUCCCGCAUGGGUUUUAUAUUAAAGAAAUUCGGUAUGAGAUGGGGAUGCGUUCCAUUAGUUUGUUGGGGGGGUAACGGCCCACCAAGACUACGAUGGAUAGGGGUUCUGAGAGGAAGGUCCCCCACAUUGGAACUGAGACACGGUCCAAACUCCUACGGGAGGCAGCAGUGAGGAAUAUUGGUCAAUGGACGCGAGUCUGAACCAGCCAAGUAGCGUGAAGGAUGACUGCCCUAUGGGUUGUAAACUUCUUUUAUAUGGGAAUAAAGUUGUCCACGUGUGGAUUUUUGUAUGUACCAUAUGAAUAAGGAUCGGCUAACUCCGUGCCAGCAGCCGCGGUAAUACGGAGGAUCCGAGCGUUAUCCGGAUUUAUUGGGUUUAAAGGGAGCGUAGGCGGAUUGUUAAGUCAGUUGUGAAGUUUGCGGCUCAACCGUAAAAUUGCAGUUGAUACUGGCAGUCUUGAGUGCAGUAGAGGUGGGCGGUAUUCGUGGUGUAGCGGUGUUAUGCUUAGAUAUCACGAAGACUCCGAUUGCGAAGGCAGUUCACUGGAGUGUAACUG